CCUCAGGCAAAGGUUUCUGGGUAAGCACAGGUUAUACUUCCACAGAAAGCAUAUCUCACGGCACGCUACGGCCGUCGUCAGCAGGUAUUUACAGGAAUGUUCUAGAACAUACGCGUGUCAAAUACUCCAUUCAAGCAGAUUGAACACACCAGGGAACCCCAUGGAGCUCUCCCGAGCUUGGCCCCGUGCGGACUUACGCUCCAGCCUCUCCUCUCGGGCUUGGAGGGCCCGCUCGCGCUCCUGCAGCUGAAGCUCCUUCAGUCUGAGCUCUCCCAAGACCGGGCUGGAGUCCUGGCGCUUCUCUGGCUCUAAUCGGCGCCCUCUUCUCUCGAGAUUUCUUCUUUGCUCUUCUGCAACCAGAUCUGCUAUCAGAGGAUUCUCAAGAAUUUCUUCAACAGAAGGAGUACAAGGUCUGUGCUGUCCAUCUACCUUAAUUUUAACCCAAGGUAUGAGUCUUUUGGACUGGAAUACACAUGGAUGCGCAAAAAGCUGAAUGUAGUGAAAGGUGACAAGCCUCUGUGACUAUGAACUUCACACCAGAAAUCUGUCUUCAUCAUACUUACAUUAACGCACACAAUUCAUACAGCAAACAACCUAGUGACCAGAUAUCCGAUUUCUCAUUGUAGGACAUGCGACUCAUUUGUUCCUAAAGGGGAAGGAGAGGGUAAAACUGUAGGAGGUAAAAAUUUGUUUUAAAACUUACAAAAUGACCUGAGAUAAAAAUGGAAUCUCUAAGUUUGAUUAUAUUGACUUGGAGAAAAAAAAAAAAAAAAGAAAGAAAAAAUUUUAUAUUAUAUUUUAU